AAACUCUAAAUUCAUCAUCCUUAGGAAACUGUUCCUCAAUAGUUGAGGUUACUUUCCCAACAGCAGCAUCAUUUAGAGAAACUAAACAAAAGGUGGAAGUGGAGAGAGUUCAACUUCAAAAAUCAAAAGGGUGAUGAGGUUUGGUGGUAGUAUCAAUUUCUCCAAGUGGAUGUUGUUGGUUCAUCAAACACUGUUGAUUCGUUGAUUCUUCAUUCACCAACUCCUGUAUUAAGAACAGAUGCAUUACUGAUAUGAAAGUAUUAAUAACAUUCAUUACCAA